GCAAAGAGUUUUCUUUUCCAUAGGAUCUAAAAGAUGUUUGGUUGAAGGAAAUACACAGUUGGUUACUCAACCAUCAUGUAAGCUAUUCUUUCUUUUGAGUGUUCACAAAGCUUAUGGAUUUGCGCAUUCGAAGGCGGAAUAUGUAUCAGUUUUGCAGUUUCGCAAAGAGUUUUCUUUUCCAUAGGAUCUAAAGGAUUGUGUCAAUAAAGUCACUCCAACAUAGAGUUACUGUCAAUGGAUCUGCAUAUCAUUUAAGUUGUUUGUGUGGAUUAGAACAUGAAGAUUUCAUAAGCAGGUAGAGGAUAAGGUAACAAGGUGGGUGAAAGAAUGAAAUGGGGGACCGCGCGCAUUAUCAAGAGGUGAUUGUGUAACUGAUGUCGGCAUGAAAAAAAGAUAAGUAUUAAUU